UAGAGGAAGUAAAAGUCGUAACAAGGUCUCCGUUGGUGAACCAGCGGAGGGAUCAUUACCGAGUGUAAAAACUCCCAAACCAUUGUGAACCUACCACUGUUGCUUCGGCGGCCUCGCCCCGGGCGCGUUCGCGCGGCCCGGACCCAGGCGUCCGCCGGAGGCUCCAAACUCUUGUCUUUUAGUGUAUUUCUGAGUGGCAUAAGCAAAUAAAUCAAAACUUUCAGCAACGGAUCUCUUGGUUCUGGCAUCGAUGAAGAACGCAGCAAAAUGCGAUAAGUAAUGUGAAUUGCAGAAUUCAGUGAAUCAUCGAAUCUUUGAACGCACAUUGCGCCCGCCAGUAUUCUGGCGGGCAUGCCUGUCUGAGCGUCAUUUCAACCCUCAGGACCCGUUCGCGGGACCUGGCGUUGGGGAUCAGCCUGCCCCUGGCGGCGGCUGGCCCUGAAAUCCAGUGGCGGUUCCCUCGCGAACUCCUCCGUGCAGUAAUUAAACCUCUCGCGGCAGGAUAGCGGUUGAACCACGCCGUUAAACCCCCCACUUCUCAAGGUUGACCUCAGAUCAGGUAGGAAUACCCGCUGAACUUAAGCAUAUCAAUAAGCGGAGGA
rnacentral:rRNA from 1 species